rnacentral:ncRNA from 1 species
CAUCGGGGACGACCCCGAUCUGCUCCGAGGGUUGGGGCAGCACCUUAUGACGGGGACGACCCCG